AUGUCAGAGUUGGUGCAGGUGCUCUGGUUCAGUCGCCGCUUCUUAAAAUGUGCAGCAGAAUCGCAAGUCACAAGUCCCUCAGCGGAAGAUGAAGUCGCCCGAGGAACAAUUGAACGGCUGGUCCCACUCGUCCCUGAUAUCGAAGUAGCCCCGGCAGAAGUUCGGCGUGGGCGCUCGGGUAGGGGACGCGUCCCAGACCCCCGCGCCCUCGCUGGCCUCUUCCGAGGCGGCCCCCAGAGCGGCUGCACGCCCCCCUCCCCGCGCCAGCACUACCACGCAGCCCAGCUGAGCCAGCUGCCCGUGCCCCGCUCGCUCCUGCGCCCGGCACACGCGGGCGCACAGCUCGGUGAGGAAGCAGCCGAGGAGCAGCGGAGACGCGGGGGGGGGGGGGGGGGGGGGGGGGGGGGGGGGGGGGGGGGGGGGGGGGGGGGGGGGGGGGGGGGGGGGGGGGGGGGGGGGGGGGGGGGGGGGGGGGGGGGGGGGGGGGGGGGGGGGGGGGGGGGGGGGGGGGGGGGGGGGGGGGGGGGGGGGGGGGGGGGGGGGGGGGGGGGGGGGGGGGGGGGGGGGGGGGGGGGGGGGGGGGGGGGGGGGGGGGGGGGGGGGGGGGGGGGGGGGGGGGGGGGGGGGGGGGGGGGGGGGGGGGGGGGGGGGGGGGGGGGGGGGGGGGGGGGGGGGGGGGGGGGGGGGGGGGGGGGGGGGGGGGGGGGGGGGGGGGGGGGGGGGGGGGGGGGGGGGGGGGGGGGGGGGGGGGGGGGGGGGGGGGGGGGGGGGGGGGGGGGGGGGGGGGGGGGGGGGGGGGGGGGGGGGGGGGGGGGGGGGGGGGGGGGGGGGGGGGGGGGGGGGGGGGGGGGGGGGGGGGGGGGGGGGGGGGGGGGGGGGGGGGGGGGGGGGGGGGGGGGGGGGGGGGGGGGGGGGGGGGGGGGGGGGGGGGGGGGGGGGGGGGGGGGGGGGGGGGGGGGGGGGGGGGGGGGGGGGGGGGGGGGGGGGGGGGGGGGGGGGGGGGGGGGGGGGGGGCGGGAGCGAGUUGGGGGGCGUGCAGAGCUGAACUAG
rnacentral:lncRNA from 1 species